UACGUAGGGUCCGAGCGUUGUCCGGAAUUAUUGGGCGUAAAGGGCUCGUAGGCGGUCCGUCACGUCGGGAGUGAAAACUCGGAGCUCAACUCCGAGCCUGCUUCCGAUACGGGCAGACUAGAGGUAGGCAGGGGAGAGCGGAACUCCUGGUGUAGCGGUGGAAUGCGCAGAUAUCAGGAAGAACACCGGUGGCGAAGGCGGUUCUCUGGGCAUGUCCUGACGCUGAGGAGCGAAAGUGUGGGGAGCGAACAGG
rnacentral:rRNA from 1 species